CUACUGGCAACAGAUUCUAUCAAUUUUUAUUUUCACUGUUUGUUUUUCACUGUUGAAGGAUAACUUCAUAAACUCCAGAAUUCUAGUUCUGCAGCAUGCAAGUCCAAUUGAAGGUGUCAGCAGAUUUGGUUUCUCCUUAAGACUCUCUCCUUGGCUUGCCAAUUGCCACCUUCUUGCUGUGUCCUCACAUAGCCUUUUCUCUGUGAUCAAGAUGCAGAAAAGAGAAACAAGUGUCACUGGCAAUCAAGACGUGAACACUGGAGGGUCCAUUGUGCCAUUGGAACCAGCCUAGAACAUAACAGUUACGUUUUUAUUAAAAGCCCCUUAUGCAAAUAUGUG
rnacentral:lncRNA from 13 species